rnacentral:rRNA from 1 species
UACAGAGACUGCAAGCGUUAUUCGGAUUCACUGGGCGUAAAGGGUGCGCAGGCGGCCAAGUGUGUGAGGCGUGAAAGCCCGAAGCUUAACUUCGGAAUUGCACCUCAAACUACAUGGCUAGAGCAUUGGAGAGGGUAGCGGAAUUCACGGUGUAGCAGUGAAAUGCGUAGAUAUCGUGAGGAACACCAGAGGCGAAGGCGGCGACCUGGACAGUUACUGACACUCAACUGCGAAAGCGUGGGGAGCAAACAGG